rnacentral:rRNA from 1 species
CUUCAGUGCCGCAGUUAACACAAUAAGUAAUCCACCUGGGGAGUACGACCGCAAGGUUGAAACUCAAAGGAAUUGACGGGGGCCCGCACAAGCAGUGGAGUAUGUGGUUUAAUUCGACGCAACGCGAAGAACCUUACCAAGUCUUGACAUCCUGCGACGCACAUAGAAAUAUGUGUUUCCUUCGGGACGCAGAGACAGGUGGUGCAUGGUUGUCGUCAGCUCGUGUCGUGAGAUGUUGGGUUAAGUCCCGCAACGAGCGCAACCCUUAUGGUCAGUUACUACGCAAGAGGACUCUGGCCAGACUGCCGUUGACAAAACGGAGGAAGGUGGGGAUGACGUCAAAUCAUCAUGCCCUUUAUGACUUGGGCUACACACGUACUACAAUGGCGUUAAACAAAGAGAAGCAAGACCGCGAGGUGGAGCAAAACUCAGAAACAACGUCCCAGUUCGGACUGCAGGCUGCAACUCGCCUGCACGAAGUCGGAAUUGCUAGUAAUCGU